UACGUAUGGUGCGAACGUUGUUCGGAAUUACUGGGCAUAAAGAGCACGUAGGCGGUUGGACAAGUCCGGUGUGAAAUCCCUCGGCUUAACUGAGGAACUGCAUCGGAUACUAUUCGACUUGAGUGCAGGAGGGGAGAGUGGAAUUCCAGGUGGAGCGGUGAAAUGCGUAGAUAUCUGGAGGAACGCCGGUGGCGAAAGCGACUCUCUGGUCUGCAACUGACGCUGAGGUGCGAAAGCUAGGGGAGCAAACGGG
rnacentral:rRNA from 1 species